GGUGGUUUCUGGAGGAGUAGGAGGUGGCAGAUGGAGCGACAAGAGAUCACGACGAGGGUGGUCCAAGUUUAGGAUGAGAGGCUUGAGCAAAAUCAUAUGUUACCGGUGUGACGAGUUGGGGCAUCUAGCUAGAGAUUGUCCUCAACUCAGGGGUUGGACGAGGACAGCGAUGGCCAUUAGUGACUCAGAGGGUGAUGCCCUAAAGAUAUC
rnacentral:lncRNA from 1 species